CCUUGAAAUACCACCCUUUAAUGUUUGAUGUUCUAACGUGGACCCGUAAUCCGGGUUGCGGACAGUGUCUGGUGGGUAGUUUGACUGGGGCGGUCUCCUCCUAAAGAGUAACGGAGGAGCACGAAGGUUGGCUAAUCCUGGUCGGACAUCAGGAGGUUAGUGCAAUGGCAUAAGCCAGCUUGACUGCGAGCGUGACGGCGCGAGAAGGUGCGAAAGCAGGUCAUAGUGAUCCGGUGGUUCUGAAUGGAAGGGCCAUCGCUCAACGGAUAAAAGGUACUCCGGGGAUAACAGGCUGAUACCGCCCAAGAGUUCAUAUCGACGGCGGUGUUUGGCACCUCGAUGUCGGCUCAUCACAUCCUGGGGCUGAAGUAGGUCCCAAGGGUAUGGCUGUUCGCCAUUUAAAGUGGUACGCGAGCUGGGUUUAGAACGUCGUGAGACAGUUCGGUCCCUAUCUGCCGUGGGCGCUGGAGAAUUGAGGGGGGCUGCUCCUAGUACGAGAGGACCGGAGUGGACGCAUCACUGGUGUUCGGGUUGUCAUGCCAAUGGCACUGCCCGGUAGCUAAAUGCGGAAGAGAUAAGUGCUGAAAGCAUCUAAGCACGAAACUUGCCCCGAGAUGAGUUCUCCCUGACUCCUUGAGAGUCCUGAAGGAACGUUGAAGACGACGACGUUGAUAGGCCGGGUGUGUAAGCGCAGCGAUGCGUUGAGCUAACCGGUACUAAUGAACCGUGAGGCUUAACCUU
rnacentral:rRNA from 1 species